UGUACUGGAACAUGUCUUGCAAUUAAAAAAAUAUCAAAUCCGAAAUCAAUGUCAUUUUUAAUUUUCAAUAUUUGUUUUUAAUUUUUUUUUCAAAUGGAUAUUGAAAAAUUGUCAAGAUCUUUUAGUUCCCGCAUCAAGGCCGUCAAGGAAAAUUCAAAAUUACAUUUGUCCAUUUUUCGUUUGGGUUUCGUUAAGCGGAAACUUCUGAAAGCUCUAACUGUGUAUGUGGUCACCGCUUCCAUUUGUCAAAUGGCUUCCAAGUGCAAGUGAAAUAUGGAUACCCAUUUAAAAUCUCUUAGUAAUUAAGUUUUUUAUGCAAAGUUAGGAAUUUUAUU